rnacentral:rRNA from 1 species
AUGUCGCCUCCCCAUCGACGAGUGCCAACGGCCUACGCCGCGGCUCAGGCGCCUCCCACCACGCCCCUCCUCUCCAAUCACAGGCGCGAGCUGUGGAGGAGAAAGCAAUCGAACAUGAAAAGUUUUUGUAGCGGCCGGCUUGUGCGCCGUCUCGGCUUCGGGGUAAAGCAGUCUGAAGUUUAUGAACCAGGUGGUGAUGAUUGCAGAAUUCCAGUCAUUGAGUGUGUCUACGAGUGGAUUCAGGUCCUGGAAAUAUUGGGAGUGAUCUUAGUGCCAGAAAAUAACAGCCUUAGGAGUGUAGGGUGGACCAGUGGAGCAGAGACACCUGGCGAUGUAUCGAAAUCUGUCCUGCAUAAUAAAGGAGCGCUGAGGAUGAUGGCUUUCAUGUUGGUUUGGAUGAUGCUGGUUCGGUAG